rnacentral:rRNA from 1 species
UGGGGAAUCUUGCACAAUGGGGGAAACCCUGAUGCAGCGACGCCGCGUGAGCGAAGAAGCCUUUCGGGGUGUAAAGCUCUUACGCCAGGGACGAUAAUGACGGUACCUGGAGAAGCAGCUGCGGCUAACUACGUGCCAGCAGCCGCGGUAAUACGUAGGCAGCAAGCGUUGUUCGGAAUUACUGGGCGUAAAGGGUGCGUAGGCGGCGCCUUAAGUUUGGUGUGAAAUCUCCCGGCUCAACCGGGAGGGUGCACUGAAAACUGGGGCGCUCGAGUGUGGGAGAGGAAAGCGGAAUUCCUGGUGUAGCGGUGAAAUGCGUAGAGAUCAGGAGGAACACCCGCGGUGUAGACGGCUUUCUGGACCAUGACUGACGCUGAGGCACGAAAGCGUGGGGAGCAAAC